UACGGGGGGGGCAAGCGUUGUUCGGAAUUACUGGGCGUAAAGGGUUCGUAGGUGGCUGUCUAAGUCAGACGUGAAAUCCCUCAGCUCAACUGGGGAACUGCGUCUGAGACUGGAAAGCUCGAGUGCAGGAGAGGAACGCGGAAUUCCAGGUGUAGCGGUGAAAUGCGUAGAUAUCUGGAGGAACACCGGUGGCGAAGGCGGCGUUCUGGACUGCAACUGACACUGAGGAACGAAAGCCAGGGGAGCAAACGGG
rnacentral:rRNA from 1 species